AGGGGACAGGAGAAAGGAAAGGAGGCUCUUCAUCUGGGGUAGAGGACCUUCGGACAAGAGAGCAGAGUCUUGAGGAAAAAGCAACAGAGGUGUUUCAAAAGGAACGUGGAAGAGGCUGGAGCGAGUUUAUUGUGGCUGCUGCUGACUUCCGGCCUGUGACUCAGCCCCCUCCAGGCCCCAUCAAUCCCAAACCGAGAUUCCUUCAUGAACCCCGCAUAGCAUGUGACUGCCCUGCAGGCCUCAGAAUGGCAAGGGAGGUGGAGCCAGCAUCCGUCUGGAAUGUUGUUAUUUGUGCUGCAGGUCUCCAGCAGAGCCAUGACCACCUCGAGGGCAGGGGCCACAGCUGACCCAUUCCUGUACCCCAGACUAUCUCAGACUGGCGCCAGCUGUGGUUCCGGAUAUUAUGUCUAAUUGACAGGCUGGCUGGACAAACACAGGAAGAGAAAAGGAUAAAUGAAGAAAGGAGGGAGGAAGGGCAGAGGAAGCAGAGGGGGCAGGAAGGAAGGAAGGAAGAAGGGAAGGAAGGAAAAAGGGGUUUGAAAACAAAACUGGCCAAAUGGCUGAGCGUUGUGGUGGCACAUGCCUGUAACUCCAACAGUGAUUCUCUGUGAGUUCAAGGCCCGCCUAGUCUACAUAGCAAGUUCCAGGCCAGGGUUACGUAGUGAGACCCUGACUCAAAAAUAAAUAAUAAGCACAUGGGUAAGCAAACAGACGAGAUGAAGGCGUGCACAUAACACGUGACAAGAGGUGUGGCGUGCUCUGCAGAGAAGUCAUUACCUUCUACCCUCUCCUUCUCUAAGGACAAAGCUAACCUUCUGCCCCGCUCCACCUUCUCCUGCAGUUAGGCUUGUUAUGAUUCUUUACUGCCACUGUGUGGCCACCCUGCUCUCUGCAGGUCAUUACUUGGGCUUUCCCCUGGGGUUCCUCGCCGUGGAGGGUACUGGGUGCUUGCGCGGGGUACUUGUCCUGCCUUUGGGGAGGCUGGCAGGGCGCACCUGAUCUGGGGUGCAUUCCCCCAAGCCUUUGUGUGGGCACUUCACGCCUUCGCUCUUUAGUUCCAAUCAUCAGAUUUUGGAAGCCGUUGAGCUCAGCCCUGAUAUGCCACUCAAAGCUUUGCCCUCACGUAAACCCAGCACCUACUGUGUGCCAGACACUUGGCACGUGGCAUUUUAUUCUGUCUUUUGAAGGACAUAUGAUUCCUAUGCACCUUUGAAAAUUGAAGAAACAAGAGGCUCAAAGAGGAGAGAUGGCUUGGUGAAGGUCCAUCUGGCAGUUGGAGGAGGUAAGCCUCAAAUCCAGUCACUGAGUUUCAGAGUUUGUUCAUACAGAACCUUCAAAAAUUCUGCCAGGGUGGUGACAAAUGUCUCUAAUCACAGCAUGUGGGAAGCAGAGGCAGGAGAAACCUUCUCUACAAAGUUGUUUUUUUGUUUUUUGUUUUUCUUCUUUUUGUCUUUUUAAGAUAGGGUUUCUCUGUAGCCCUGGCUGUCCUGGAACUCACUCUGUAGACCAGGCUGGACUCCAAUUCCGAGAUCUGCCCGCCUCUGCCUACCAAAUGCUGGGAUUAAAGGUGUGUGCCGCCCUGCUUGGUUUACACAGUGAAUUUGAGGCCACCUCUAGACCUGUGAGGCUCUGUAUCUUAAAAAUGAGUCGGGCAGGUGGAGAGACAGCUCAGUGGCUAAGAGCACUUGUUGCUCUUACAGAGGACCUGUGUUCAGUUCCCAGCACCAGAUGAUAACACACAAGCAGUAACUCCAGCUCCAGGGUAUUUUAUGCCCUCUUCUGUCUUCUGGGGACACGGGACAGACACACGGUGCACAUACACUCAAGCAAUAGCUACAAACAAAAUAAAAAAUAUCUUUAAAACAUGAAAACAUAAAGUCAGAGGGGCGAGGAACCUCUUGUGGGCUAACUUGUCCAACAUGCUCCAUUUUCAGUUGUAGAAACUGAGGCUCUUAGGGUACAAUGACUUCCCACACAGCAGGUCCAGGCCUGCUGGACAGGACCUGGAAGACGCCCCCACCCAAGCAGCUGCCCUGCUGCAUGGACCUCCUAUUUGGCUUCCCCUCCUUGCCUUGCUACUUACUGUUAGGCUUUCCUGGUGGGUGCACUGAACAGGGAGGAAGCACUGAGGCUGUCUCGACACUCAUUUACUCUCAUAAUUAACUUGUCACUCUGGGUAUCUGCAGGCCUGCCUCUGGCAGUGCUGGGUCAGUAAUUGACCUCCACACCUUUCCUUUUGGGUGCGUUCGUAGAGAGAGGGGCCUGGGACUCUGAAGGCAGGCCCAUAGACCUGGGCCAGAGGAAUAGGAAAGAGGAAAGGGUGAGAAAAGAUGGGAGCUUAGGAAAGGGGUCAGAAGUGGGUAGAGACAGGUGAAGGGAAUCAUGAAAGAUGAUGGGGUUGGGGGUAAUCCUCUAGUCACCCUGCUUUCUCUCCAAUAGUGCCUCUGUUCUUUUAGAAAACAAUUUGAUUGGUACUUUAUGUGUUACGUGUAUUAGUGUUUUGCAUGCAUGUAUGUAAGUGAAUCACAGGCGCAUGCUAGAGGACACCAGAUCCUCCGGAACUGGAAUUCCAGACUGGGGAGCUACCGUGUGGCUGCUUGAAACCAAACCCGGGUCCUCAGCUAGAGCAGCAGAUGCUCUUGACCUCUGAGCCAUGUCUCCUGCUCUGAGCACCCCUCGCCUUUUUGUUUGUUUGUUUGUUUAGUUGGUUUUCAAGACAGGAUUUGGCUGUCAGGUUUGGCUGUCCUGGAAUUCACCGUGUAGACCAGGCUGACCUCAACUUACAGAGAUCUGCCUGUCUGUGCCUCCCAAGUGCUGGCUGGGAUUAAAGGUGUGCAUCAUCACUGCCCAGAGAACACCUCAUGUUUUGAGUGCUGUCUACUGAACCCCAAACCUAGAGAUUGCUGGGUGCUCUGCCUUGCUCAGCCCUUUCUGCCUGCAACUAUGCUUGUUCACUUCCCUUACAGGACAUUAGCUCCCCAUUGGAGCCCUUUCCUGGUUCCCUCCUGCCAGCAGACAAAGACCUUCUGCCUCAUCUAGGAUACUGGUACCAUCAAAGCCCACCUCCCUCAGCCCCUCAAAUCUCUGCCAGGAUAUGGUUCUCCAGACAUGGGGCACUAACUGGUCUGUGGUCUCUGACCUGUGACCUCCUGGGGAUGCUGGGAAUUUAAAGUUUUCUUUGUUCUUUUUUUUUUUUUUUGUUUUGUUUUGUUUUGUUUUUUUUCAGAGCUGAGGACCGAACCCAGGGCCUGGUGCUUGCUAGGCAAGCGCUCUACCACUGAGCUAAAUCCCCAACCCCAAGUUUUCUUUGUUCUUAAGCUGGGCAGUGGUAGUACACAUCCUAGCUCUCAGGAGGCAGUGACAGGCACAGCCAGGGUUACACAGAGAAACCCGGUCUUGGGAACAAAUUUAUUCUUGAGAAUUCCAUACAUGCGCACAAUGAAUAUGAUCAGAUCUGCACCAUUUGCCCCUUCCUGGGACACUGAGAAUUCUUAGCUUGCUCAUGAGCUCCCAGGGAAAUAAAAGGAGAGAAAGAAGUACACUGGGAUCCAGAAGGUUCUCAGUUGGCCUUCAGGGACUUUGAAGAAUUGGAAAAAGACUGUGUAUUCUAGGUGUCAAGAGCAUGGGCUCGGGGUUGGGGAUUUAGCUCAGUGGUAGAGCGCUUGCCUAGCAAGCACAAGGCCCUGGGUUCGGUCCUCAGCUCUGGAAAAAAAAAAAACCAAACAAACAAACAAAAAAACCCAACAACUUUCAAGAGCAUGGGCUCUCCAGCCACAUAGCCUGAGGUUGAUCAUAAAUCUGUGACUUUUUUGUUGUGUGAUCUUAGACAUGUUACUAGCUCUGGUUUCUACAUCUCUACAAGGGGAGUGCCAUAGUUGCCUGCCUUUAAGUGCUUCCGGGCUGCAGCCUGAGCACCAGUUCUUGAUGACCUCUUUCCCCAUCUUUGGACUAUGUUCUCCUCCCCACCCUGUCCCUAUCCCCAUCCCCUCCUAGUGUGCUAGUAAGGCAAAGAACUCUGCCCAAUGUUUGUCCCUUCCUGACUCUCGUGAUGUACUGUUACUGGGAAUACUUCUCAGUGUCACCACCAGGAAGCCUUCCUUGAUUUCCCCAUCCCCUUCCUUCCCGACCAGGCCUGGUACUGGGAUCCCUCUUCAGAGCUUCCCAUGUAAAUGGAAAAUAGUCCCCAUGCCAGUAAUGGAGGAAGGAUGGCACACGGUACCCGUCUGGGGCCCAAGGUUUAGGGAUGUUCCAGUGAAGAUAGUAAAAUGACUCGAGGCUGAGCGGGCUCCCGGUAAGCCUCCUUCCUGCCCCAGUUUUAUUUUGUUUCAGGAAUCAUUCCAGGCAGCAUUCCUGCUGCCACCACAGCCAUCUGGGCCACUGUCAACGUCUCAUGCAGUAUAGAAGGAAGGAACAAGGGAUGGAGGUGGGGGGUGUGGUCUGCCCUGCAAAGCCGUUGGAUUAGAAGGAGUCUGGGGCUUCCAGAUGACAAGGCCUGGCACAGCCACCACUAUCCCUGGCCCAUUUUUCACCUCUUGAUAUUGACCACGGGGUGAGAAGCCUGGCUUCAGUGAGUCCAGUUGUGGCUGGUGUCCUGUUGACCUGUGUCCCUAUUCUAGCCACCCUUCUCCUUGUCAUUGACUGUAUGAUUAGACCUGCUUCCGUCUGGGCCUCCAUGAUUCAAUAGCGCCAAGGACCAGAAUCUUCUUCUCACUACUCUAUGUCCACUAUCCUUUUAAAUCUUCAGGUGCCAGAGAGAAGGAGCCAAAAGCCACCAUUUCUCUGGGAGAACUGCCUUUCUCAAGUGACAGCCAGCACCUCACUUACGAUGUGAUCCCUUCACUAACUCUGACCAGAUGGGAGCCAAAGAGUGAUUCUGGUAGUGGUGCACAGCCCAGCCCUUUGCUUACGAACACCACUUUCCCCAGAGUUCCUACUGGCUCAAGACUAAGGCUAGAUAUCCCUGUCUUUAGGGACCUUGACUUAAGAUGCUGACUAUUCCUAGGGUUGGAUUUAGAUCUGCCUGACACUUUCAAGAGAAACCUGGCCUAGAGGGACACCAGCCAACACUGGUGAAUCUGUGCUCAUUGGCUUCAGAUCCACACAAGGAUCUGGAUCUGGGCCACUGGGAACUUCAGGUUCCCUCAGGGGUGGAUGGUCAGGGGAGCCUUCAUGUGGCCUACUGGCUUCUGUUGAGUCUGGUUUCUUGGCCUCUUCUUGUGUCCACUGCAGUGGGCAGAGUCUGUGUUUGGGAUGGGCUAGUUUGUGUCUUCUAUUGCUUGACUGCUCACCGUGAUCCCCACGGCUCCCAUGGUAAAUCUGGGAAGUUUUUUUUUUUUUU